rnacentral:lncRNA from 1 species
UUCCCCCUUUGAAGAAGAGUAAUGUUUAUCAAAUUAGCUUUUUCUUACCUACAUCUUCACUUUGAAAAAUUUUAGAAGCCGCCAUGCAAGUCUGCUUUUAAUGGAAGCCAUCAAUGAUCUGACCGAGUCCCACUUAUCUUAGGGGAGAUGCGACUUAAUCUGCAAUUUGGGAAGAUGGUUCGGAUUAAUUGCGAUGCUAAGAAUGUGUUUGGUUGCAAGAAAAAUUAUCUCAAAAAAUUAUACCAACAAGAAAUCACACUUUUCAUUUGUUUGUUUUGCUAGAAAAUUAAUAAACUUAGAAAGCUUAUAUUUGUAUCUCU